rnacentral:tRNA from 1 species
GUCGUCAUCGUAUAGUGGUCAUUAUCCCCGCCUGUCACGCGGGAGACCGGGGUUCGAUUCCCCGUGACGGCG